rnacentral:lncRNA from 1 species
CUUUGAGGUGACAUAAUAUCGUAGCCAAUUGCACGCUUCUGCCAUUCUGUAAGAUCGUGGGUUUGAUUUCCACCUUUAAGUAAUUUAUUAAUUUUACGUUUCUUUCAGACUCAUCAUGCGCGUAACUAGAUUGUUACAUAUAUUUCUGGUUAGUAUCUUGAUCGAUAAUUUGGAUUAACAUGUAACAUAUCUUAUUUUUGAUAGUGCAGAUACUUUAAAUUACUCA